UCGCUAGUGUGAGAUGAAACUACUGAUAUCCCUGCCGGCCAAAUCCUCCCUAACCCGGAUGACGCUAGGCCAAUGGGGCGCCGCCCCAUGGUCGUGACCGGCUGCGACAGAGCCUGGGCUCGAACCCAGAGUCUCUGGUGCCUUAGACCACUGCGCCACCCGGGAGGCCCACAACAGACCUUAUGUUGAACAGUUGAUUGAAGCUAUGUGAAAACCUAACACAUUGGCUAGUGUUAAGGUUGAGGCAUACACGGUUUGGUAUGAUAAUACUAGAAUUGGUAACAGCAUAGCUGAUGAGGCGGCCAAAUUGGCUGUUUCCCGUUGUCACACACAUGCAUUUUAUUUUUAGUCGUUUGUGUCAUCUGAAACUACUGAUCUUGAGAAACAGCAGCAGGCUGAUAUUCUCAAUCACCAAGUGUGGAGGGAGAGAGGGUGUGCUCUCUGUCCUAGGUCUGGCUUGUUGCUAUAUCUUUUGUAUGGCAUGCCCUGUUUACCAUCAACCAUGAUCUUUAAUAAUUGCCGAUUGGCUCAUGAAGUGAGCCAUUCGUCAAAGGGGGAUAUGAGAGGAGAAUGGAGGAGAAUGUUUGAAAAUUUGACCCAAAAUUUGAAUCGGCACGUAAAACAGUUCAAUUAUCGUUGCGCGACAUGUUUGUUAUAUAACAUAGACAAGGGAACUCAACUGCAACCAGGGAAGUUCCCCCCUCCAAAAGGAUCUUUUGUCCACCUAGCUAUGGAUUUCAUAGACAUGGUAGAGCGAAAAGAAAGAAAAAUAUACUGCCUGGUGAUAAUUGACAGGUUUACCAGGUGGGUGGAACCAUCCGUGAUGCGCGAACAGUUGCAAAAUUGCUAGUUAAGGAAUUUAUGCUCAGGUUCGGAGUGCCUGAGGUUUGUCUGCAGACAAUGGGACCCAUCUCACAGGAGAUGUGGUUACCCAAAUGGCCAAAAUGAUGGGUGUUGACCAGAAGUMUGUGUCCAUCUAUCAACCGUGGAGUAACUAGUAACUUACUGAGGUCCAAUCUGGACCCUGAGAGGCUCCCUUGUCAAACUAUGCCACUCCACAGGAAUGACAUGGGUAGAGGGAUUACCUCUUGUCCUCAUGAAAAUGCGCAGCAGCCUUAACAAAGGUAUUGGGUGUACACCUUAUGAAAUGUUAACAAGACGACCAAUGAACACCCCAGGGGUGAGACCUAUGACUGACCGACAGACAGACAUAACUGCGAUAUAGUGUGACCAUCUUGAGUACAUGAAGGAACUGACUUCUGUUGUAAGUUCUCCACUCUCACACUAGGAAAGCAGCAGAACCAAUCCCAGGUGAAGACCCUGACGAGCUACCCAUAAACGUUGGAAAAUGGGUGAAACUCGGGGUCCACAAGCGAAAAUGGAACCAACCACGAUGGAUGGGUCUGUUCCAGGUAACCAUGGUAACACCAACAGCCCUGCGGCUAGAGGAGAGGUKCGGCUAGCAUCAUCUCUCCCACUGCAAGCACCUCCCAGAGUGGAAGCCAUGGAUGAGCGACUGGAGGGAGGGAGAGCAGGGCCCCGAGAACAUCUGCAGGAGGAAGCAGGUCCGACCCAAAGGACAGGAGCAGAAGGCCGAGACCAAAGGUCAGAAGAACCAACAGAGGGUUCAGCCACAGAACCUGAAGAYUCAUCAGAUGUCGGGGAAACCAUCAUACACACACACUAUGGUUGUGAAACAAGAAAAUCACAACCAUGGAAACACACAUCAGGGUAUUUAUUGCUCUCCAAAUCUACCCGUUCCCUUUCUGGACCGGGAUGUGGAGAAUAAUAAAUGGGUGGAAACAGUGACAUACAUAGGAUUACAGGGGAGGGGGAACACAUCUGGCACAUGGGUAAUGAUUUUCCAUAAAGCCACCUCCACAGCCUUUCUGUGGGAAACUCAGAUAUUAACAUCCAGAAUCAUUCUGUCCAAUUGGUACUGACUCCAUUUUAUGCAAAGGAACAAUACCAGGGUUCGACAAAGAAACAGCAAUUAUACUAUUCUAAUGUUGGUCACUAGGGGGAAGGAAGUAACAUGGGAAGGUGGAGUAUCCAAUAAGACAAUAGGUAAUAGUUCAGAUGCAGCUAAAGAAUUUAAGGAGGGUGGGCACAUUGCGACUAAAUGGCCAAGGUAGAAGAAGGUUCCUAGCGUACAACCAGGUAACAAUUCCCAGCUGAUUAAAUGCAUAGGACCUCCAAAAGUACAAUGGGGAGAAUAUCUGACUGGUAGUGUAAAGCCCCUAAAUGAUAAAGGAGAUGUUGUGUUGACAGGAUUAAAACCCACAAUAACUCCCCCUGUUUGUAUCUGCAACUCAGGGAUUGGGGAUGUAGGAAACACCACUAAUUGCCUCUCUUACACAGGCCUAAAAACGGAUACCAGUAGUUUUGAUGUACUGGAUGGGCAACAAUUGAUAACUAGUGUAAAUAUGUCAAACAUAGGCAAAGGCAAGGGGACACCUCCGGAUCAUCUCUGGAUCUGUGGGGGUACUGGCUACAUGUUCCUCCCCKUGGGAUGGAAAGGGUGUUGUUAUCUGGGGAAAACUGAACUGACAGCAGCAACAUUACUUGCUUCUGAGCUGCUGAACAGUUCACUGCAAAUUAGUUUCAAAUCGAUUGGCAGAGCUAAAAGAGCAGUGGCUCAAAAUAAUGGAGCUUAUGGACAUGUGCUGUCUCAGGUWGAGAUGGCAGCCCUAGUAAUCUUUCCAGGUGCAGGAGUUGUAGUAAAGGGUAAGGGGAUUAACAAUUUGACAUACUCCAUGCAGGCCCUUACUAAUUUGAUAGUACAGGGUUUUACUCAGUUGUCACUAAAUGUGCAGAAUUUGAAGGCAGUAGUAACCAGAGACGAAAUGGCACAUAUUGGCUAAAGACAGAGGGGCCUACAGGUCCCUUGGAAUAAACAAUGAGGAUUACUGUGUCAUGUUGCUUCCUGACUCCUCUGACAACAUGACAGCUAUUAUAAAUGACCUGGCUAAAUUAGGAGGUACUCUGUGAAAAGCUGACAACACCAUCUUUGACCAAAUUGGACACUGGUUUAAGGGUGUAUUUGGAAACGUGAUGGGUAAGGUAAUGAUGUUCAUGUCUGCCAUGAUUGUUCCACUUCCACUUUUGUGUUUUGUUGUUGCUUUAGAUAUAAUAAAGUGCUUGGCUAGAAAGACUGUUGAACAUUUGGGGAUUAUGUGACACAGGUAUGUUGGGGUGAUCACAAGAAGGGAGCAAACUUACCUAAUGUGUUAGAAGGAAGAUAUGGGAGAUACUAGAGCUUGUCAUGAAUAUAUGGGUCAACUGGGAGAAGAGUAUAGUGAUCGGAGAAACUGUGCUAAAGGGGAUUUUAGUGUGUUAGACUUACAGUAACAGGUGACAGGUGUAAACAUUUCCAGGAUAGAGGAAGGCAUGAGACUUACAGUAACAGGUGACAGGUGUAAACAUUUCCAGGAUAGAGGAAGGCAUGAGACUUACAGUAACAGGUGACAGGUGUAAACAUUUCCAGGAUAGAGGAAGGCAU